rnacentral:lncRNA from 1 species
ACUUUAGUAGGCACACGAACCCUAUCGUCAAUUUCCUUUAAGUUUUGCUUAAUCAACAAACCCAGCUCUUUCAAAUCCAUCGAAUUCAAACUCUGCAAUAUCUCUUUUCCAUUCAGGCUUUGGAACAUGGCAGUUUUCAACUCCUUCUGUCAAUUUUCCUUACGCAGUUUCCUAAGAUGUUGAGUAGCUUUGGCUAAAGCUUUGCUCAAAGAAACUCUCUUGGUUAACCAUCAAUUGUUUUGUUUCGACAGGGGCAGCUUCUUGGACUUGGACAGCAAGCGUCGGGCACUCACGUGGGACGACCAUACCUCAGGUUGGGAGUUGAAAUCAGGAGAGUACAUAAUAGUACAAGCUUCAAUCCCAUAAAGGGUAGUGAGUUCAUGCACCUUCUUCACUAGACCCUUGGUUCUUUUCUUGUAAGUAGUUUUCCUUACUAAAUCAUUGGUAAUGUAGGCAAGCUUUAUUUUCUUUCUAGACAUGGAUAAUUGAAGAUUUAUUUUCUAUGCAUUUGAUUACAUGUUACCCUCACAGUGUGUGUGCUUAUGUAUGGAUAUUAGAGGCUUGUAGAGAAGAAGGGAUGCCCCACUUAUCCUUACUGGACACAUAUUAAUGUUGGCCUAAAAAGGAAAUGAGAAGAUAGGUGUUCAAAUUCCAGUUAUGAUACCAAAUUCAUUACCAUAAUAGCUGCAAUUUUAAUGUCGACAUUAAAUGCAUAAGUAUGUUUAAAGUUCAUAUAUCUGGCUUUCAGUUAUAUAUUUCAUAUUUCAGUGAUAUAUACCAUUUGUGUCACAAAGGUCGAAAUAAACUUCUCGUAGGCAUUUUACCGGGUUUUUGGGGCUCCAGAG